GCAAUUCUCAUGCCUCAGCCUCCUGAGUAACUGGGAUUACAGUUUUCCAAUAAUAACAUAGAGAAAAGGAAGAAUUUUAGAGUUUCUCAGAAGAUUAGGCAAUUCCUUGAAGAAUCUGAGAACAUAGAAGCUCCCCUGCCUACUUUCCAUUAUUGAAAUCAGUGAUGCAUUGAUUUCUUUGUGUGGGAUUUUGAAAGAUCAUUAGAAACCAACCUGAGGAUCAUGAGAUUCUGGUGGACACAGGAGCAAUGAGUGGCAAUACAGUGCAUUCUAAUGCAACCUACUUUAAAAGCUUCAUUUAACCUCUCAGGAGCAGUCAUUGAGUUGGUGGAUAAUCAAGACAAGAAUCACCGUUUAAUUUUUAUCAUUCAAGACUGAGUUUUGGCAGAGACUUAUGGCUUCCAGAUUGCAGGUUUUAUUUAUUUGCUUGAACAUUUACUAAAUAGUUUUAAUAACCAAACUCUGGAUGAGGUAAA